UACGAAGGGGGCUAGCGUUGCUCGGAAUCACUGGGCGUAAAGCGCACGUAGGCGGAUUGUUAAGUCAGGGGUGAAAUCCUGGAGCUCAACUCCAGAACUGCCUUUGAUACUGGCGAUCUUGAGUCCGGGAGAGGUGAGUGGAACUCCGAGUGUAGAGGUGAAAUUCGUAGAUAUUGGGAAGAACACCGGUGGCGAAGGCGGCGAGCUGGUCCAUUACUGACGCUGAGGCGCGACAGCGUGGGGAGCAAACAGG
rnacentral:rRNA from 1 species